rnacentral:rRNA from 1 species
GGAGCGUUCUGUAAGCCUGCGAAGGUGGCCUGUGAGGGUUGCUGGAGGUAUCAGAAGUGCGAAUGCUGACAUAAGUAACGAUAAAGCGGGUGAAAAGCCCGCUCGCCGGAAGACCAAGGGUUCCUGUCCAACGUUAAUCGGGGCAGGGUGAGUCGACCCCUAAGGCGAGGCCGAAAGGCGUAGUCGAUGGGAAACGGGUUAAUAUUCCCGUACUUGGUGUUACUGCGAAGGGGGGACGGAGAAGGCUAUGUUGGCCGGGCGACGGUUGUCCCGGUUUAAGCGUGUAGGUGUGUGUUCCAGGUAAAUCCGGUUCACUUUAACACUGAGGCGUGACGACGAGGCACUACGGUGCUGAAGCAACAAAUGCCCUGCUUCCAGGAAAAGCCUCUAAGCAUCAGGUAACAUCAAAUCGUACCCCAAACCGACACAGGUGGUCAGGUAGAGAAUACCAAGGCGCUUGAGAGAACUCGGGUGAAGGAACUAGGCAAAAUGGUGCCGUAACUUCGGGAGAAGGCACGCUGACACGUAGGUGAAGUGAUUUACUCAUGGAGCUGAAGUCAGUCGAAGAUACCAGCUGGCUGCAACUGUUUAUUAAAAACACAGCACUGUGCAAACACGAAAGUGGACGUAUACGGUGUGACGCCUGCCCGGUGCCGGAAGGUUAAUUGAUGGGGUCAGCGCAAGCGAAGCUCCUGAUCGAAGCCCCGGUAAACGGCGGCCGUAACUAUAACGGUCCUAAGGUAGCGAAAUUCCUUGUCGGGUAAGUUCCGACCUGCACGAAUGGCGUAAUGAUGGCCAGGCUGUCUCCACCCGAGACUCAGUGAAAUUGAACUCGCUGUGAAGAUGCAGUGUACCCGCGGCAAGACGGAAAGACCCCGUGAACCUUUACUAUAGCUUGACACUGAACAUUGAGCCUUGAUGUGUAGGAUAGGUGGGAGGCUUUGAAGUGUGGACGCCAGUCUGCAUGGAGCCGACCUUGAAAUACCACCCUUUAAUGUUUGAUGUUCUAACGUGGACCCGUUACCCGGGUUGCGGACAGUGUCUGGUGGGUAGUUUGACUGGGGCGGUCUCCUCCUAAAGAGUAACGGAGGAGCACGAAGGUUGGCUAAUCCUGGUCGGACAUCAGGAGGUUAGUGCAAUGGCAUAAGCCAGCUUGACUGCGAGCGUGACGGCGCGAGCAGGUGCGAAAGCAGGUCAUAGUGAUCCGGUGGUUCUGAAUGGAAGGGCCAUCGCUCAACGGAUAAAAGGUACUCCGGGGAUAACAGGCUGAUACCGCCCAAGAGUUCAUAUCGACGGCGGUGUUUGGCACCUCGAUGUCGGCUCAUCACAUCCUGGGGCUGAAGUAGGUCCCAAGGGUAUGGCUGUUCGCCAUUUAAAGUGGUACGCGAGCUGGGUUUAGAACGUCGUGAGACAGUUCGGUCCCUAUCUGCCGUGGGCGCUGGAGAACUGAGGGGGGCUGCUCCUAGUACGAGAGGACCGGAGUGGACGCAUCACUGGUGUUCGGGUUGUCAUGCCAAUGGCACUGCCCGGUAGCUAAAUGCGGAAGAGAUAAGUGCUGAAAGCAUCUAAGCACGAAACUUGCCCCGA